UAGGGAAUCUUCCGCAAUGGGCGAAAGCUUGACGGAGCAACGCCGCGUGAGUGAUGAAGGUCUUCGGAUCGUAAAACUCUGUUAUUAGGGAAGAACAAAUGUGUAAGUAACUAUGCACGUCUUGACGGUACCUAAUCAGAAAGCCACGGCUAACUACGUGCCAGCAGCCGCGGUAAUACGUAGGUGGCAAGCGUUAUCCGGAAUUAUUGGGCGUAAAGCGCGCGUAGGCGGUUUUUUAAGUCUGAUGGGAAAGCCCACGGGUCAAACGUGGAGGGUGAUUUGGAACUUGAGAACUUGGGUGCAGAAGAGGAAAGUGGAAAUCCAUGUGUAGCGGUGAAAUGCGCAAGGAUAUGGAAGGAAACCAGUGGGGAAGGCGACUUUCUGGUCUGUAACUGACGCUGAUGUGCGAAAGCGUGGGGAUCAAACAGG
rnacentral:rRNA from 1 species